CAACCAUCAAGCCCUAGGCUUGUGUUGGGGCCCUGCGGCUGCCGCAGGCCCUGAAAAACAGUGGCGGGCUCGCUGUCACACCGAGCGUAGUAAAACAUCUCGCUUUGGACGUGCGGCGGGUUCUUGCCGUUAAACACCCCCCUUCUCAA
rnacentral:misc_RNA from 1 species